rnacentral:rRNA from 1 species
UACAGAGGGGGCAAGCGUUGUUCGGAAUUACUGGGCGUAAAGGGCGCGUAGGCGGCCUGUUAAGUCGAACGUGAAAUCCCCGGGCUCAACCCGGGAACUGCGUCCGAUACUGGCAGGCUUGAAUCCGGGAGAGGGAUGCGGAAUUCCAGGUGUAGCGGUGAAAUGCGUAGAUAUCUGGAGGAACACCGGUGGCGAAGGCGCAUCCUGGACCGGCAUUGACGCCUGAGGCGCGAAAGCCAGGGGAGCAAACGGG